ACUUGUCUGACUUGAGGACUUUCUCAAGCUUGCUGGCUGGAUUGCUUCCAUGUCUGUCGUUGGUCUUCUUCCGCAGAAAAGUCAGGCGGUUUUUCAUGUCUUUGGCCCUGUGUGACGAGACAAAAGGCGUCACAUCAGACUCCAAUUCUGACGGCACCCAUUCACUGCAGAGGAUCCACUGGCGAGCAAGAGAUGUAAUGCUAAAUUUCUGCAGAUUUUUUGUCAAUGAUCAAACUCAUCUGCUUCUUGGGUGGCCAGAAGUGAAGAGCAGGCAGAUCUGGUGGACGGAUCCUCCGUUCUUGGUGAGCUCUUUCCUCAGGGUCUGCGGGGAGGGAACCGCCCAGCGCUCCGAAGGUUCCCGCUUGGCCUCUAUGCAGUCGAUGGCCUGAUCGG